rnacentral:rRNA from 1 species
AAGCGCUUGCAAUCAGACUUGCACUUGGUGUUCAUCAGGGUCUCGUACCCUGUGUACUUCAUCAAGUUCAGGCCAGCAUCAGUUUGAGUGGUUAGAUAAAGGCUUCGGGAAUGUGGCUCCCCUCGGGGAGUGUUAUAGCCCGUUGUGUAAUACCCUGGUGGGGACUGAGGUUCGCGCUUCUGCAAGGAUGCUGGCGUAAUGGU